rnacentral:lncRNA from 1 species
GAGGAACAGAGAGAGUAGAACAGGAUGAGACAGGGAGGAACAGAGAGAGUAGAACAGGAUUAGACAGGGAGGAACAGAGAGAGAGAGUAGAACAGGAUUAGACAGGGAGGAACAGAGAGAGUAGAACAGGAUGAGACAGGGAGGAACAGAGAGAGUAGAACAGGAUUAGACAGGGAGGAACAGAGAGAGUAGAACAGGAUUAGACAGGGAGGAACAGAGAGAGUAGAACAGGAUGAGACAGGGAGGAACAGAGAGAGAGUAGAACAGGAUGGACAGGGGGGAACAGAGAGAGUAGAACAGGAUAGAACAGGGAGGAACAGAGAGAGUAGAACAGGAUGGAACAGGGAGGAAUAUAUAUUUUUAAAGCUUAUAAGCCAUUAACAACUUUUUGACAGCCCU